UGAAACAUACGUGGAUUUAACCAAGUUAUAGUUCUGUUUGUAAGACCAUCCUAAGAUUAGCAUGCACAGAUAGUUUCCCAUAGGAAAAAUAAAACAUUUAAAGAAUAUAUUUUAGUUAUUGUAAAAUAACAUCUUUAAACUUCUGUAUUUUUAAAGACAAAAAUACCAGAGAGUGUAUAUAGAGUAUUUUCCCUUAAUGUACUUACCUUGUGGUACCUUCAGAUUCUGCCAUGUUCUUUUCAAUCUAUUGAAGGGCAUUUAUUGACCUUGGGGGUUUCAUUUGUCUGUUAGAUAUGUUCAAAGGUCAGCUGGGUGAUUAAAUUGGAUAAUAUUUUUUAAGGGGAAAAUAGUUACAAAGGGAUAAGUCUGGCUUUCUCCUGGGACAUAUCAAGUUGCUCUAAAAGUGGAAAAUGUCUCAAAAUCUCUGCAGUGGCAUGCUGGAAUAAGAUUAUGGUCUAUUAAAGUAACUGUUCAUGUGUAGAUAUAAGUUCUGUUACUUCAAAAAAUUAUUCUUACCUUUUAGACAUGUUACAACUACUUAAUUUAUUAUCAGAUCCAAGCAAGACAUUUGGUACUUCAGAUAUCUCGAUGUGGUAGAUUGAAGAUCUGGAGUAAGAACCAGAGAUGAUUUUUAAAAUGUGUCGAGAAGCCUGUCCCGUUGCCUGAAGUCUGAAUACCUUCUGUAAGGAAUGCUAGAUUAAUGAUGUGGAGUAUCUUUUUACAGCCUUUGCUAGAAGCUCAUUCCUUGUGCUAAAUAUGAACAAUCUCAUGAUCACUUGAUGUAAAACAAGCUUGAAAGAUUGUCUCUUGUAGAAGUGUACUUACCUUCCAUCACCAGGAGGCUACGUACGCAAUACCUCUGUACUUAGAAAAUAUUGAAGUACAGCCUGGUCUUUUUAAGGUUUGAAAAGUACUCUCUGCUUAAUGUUAAGUACUUGUAUGUAACAAUGUUAUUAUAUUCAUGGAUGCUUGUUAAUUUGAUGAGUCUUAUAGGGUUAGUCUGUUUCUGAAAGUUUUACUUGCUGCAGUUGUCAGUGAAAAUUAACUUCAGUUGAAACAAUGAUGCAUAUUUUAACAGUUAAAAUAUUCUAAAAUUUCUAUUUAAAAAGCAGAUCUCCAUAAUUGCCACUGAUAAUUUUGUAAUUACUGGUUCCCAUUAGUUGUUUCUGUGGUAGGAAAAUAUUGUACCUUGUGGUACCUGAUUUGCUUUUUUUUGCUGUUAAAAAAACUUCACAUUUAUUAUCUCUUAACAGAAGUAGUUUUAAACUAAAAUGUUCACAUUACUGAAUGAGGAAAAUUGAUCCAAUUGUUAGUAUUACAACAGGCUGAAAUUUAGGUGUUUUGCAUAGAGUUUGUGAUCGAAUAUCUGAAGGUUAUCAGUUUCUACUCAGGUGUUGAUGUUAGAAUUAGCAUUAAAUUCAAAAUUGCUUGAUUGCAGUUUACAUUUUAAAUGUAAUGGCAAUUCUGCAUUAUUAGUAAGUGUUGUUUUAAAUUUCCACCUUCAUCAAGGCUUUUAAAAAUGGAGAUUAAAGUUUUUCUAGAUAAUAGAAAUAUAAGUAAGUAUGAAGCACUUAAAUUAUUACUAGUUUAGGAGUUCCUGUCAUGGCACAGUGGAAACAAGUCUGACUAGGAACCAUGAGUUGGGAGGUUCGGUCCCUGGCCUCCCUUAGUGGGUUAAAGAUGUGGCGUUGUUGUGAGGUCACAAACAGGGCUCGGAUCUGGCGUGGCUGUGGCUGUGGCGUAGGCUGGCAGCUGUAGCUUCUUCGAUUAGACCCCUAGCCUGGGAACCUCCAUAUGCCGUGAGUGUGUCCCUAAAAAGCAAAAAUAAAUAAAUAAUUACUGGUUUAUUACUUGAAAGGAACUUUAUGGUUCAGUGUGAGAUAACAGCUUUUUUUUUUUUUUUUUUUUGUCUCUUGUCUUUUUAGGGCCACACCCGGGGCAUAUGGAGGGAGGUUCCCAGGCUAGGGGUCUAAUUGGAGCCGUAGCCACUGGCCUAUGCUAGAGCCAUAGCAACACCAGAUCCCAGCUGUGUCUGCGACCUACACGACAGCUCACGGCAACACCGGAUCCGUAACCCACUGAGCAAGGCCAGGGAUUGAACCUGCAACCUCGUGGUUCCUAGUCGGAUUCAUUUCCGCUCGCCACUUUGGGAACACCUGUGAUAACAGCUCUUAUGUGGUACAACUACAUGUUCCUUUGUUUUUCCUUAAAAUUUUACCAACUGAAGUGAUGUCUGUCCAUAAUAGCUUCAGAUUUCUGUGAUCAACUCAUAUAUGGUUGAAGCUACUCUAGAUAUAAAAUGAAUUAAAAAAUGAUUUUUAGCAAAAAUUUUAUAGUAAUUUCAAUGCUGUAUGGUAACAAAAAGCUAUCUGGUUAGACUGGCCUUUCUUGCUAGUUUCUAUCCGAUUUCCCCCUCUUUUUUUUGAAGGUGGAGUUACUUUCACUGAGUUUUAGUCUUUCUGUCCAAGAUGGGCAGUACUGUGAUACUGAGGUACAGUUUACUUCCCUUUCUUGUCAGAGUUUAUAGCACUUAGUGUUCUUUUUUUUUUUUUUUUUGUCUUUUUGCCAUUUCUAGGGCCGCUCCCACAGCAUAUGGAGGUUCCCAGGCUAGGGGUUGAAUUGGAGCUGUAGCCACCGACCUACGCCAGAGCCACAGCAACUCGGGAACCGAGCCACGUCUGCAACCUACACCACAGCUCACGGCAAUGCUGGAUCCUUAACCCACUGAGCAAGGCCAGGGAUCGAACCCACAACCUCAUGGUUCCUAGUCGGAUUUGUUAACCACUGAGCCACAAUGGGAACUCCAGCACUUAGUAUUCUUAAAAAAUGAACCUUUAUCAAAUUUUGUACUCAUUUGCACAUCAGCCUAGGAGUACCCUCAAGAAAGCAACAAAUGGAUUGUGUAACAAAACAGGGAUAUUGAAAUUAGUGAGCAUGGGGAUUUUGUCAUGUUCAGUGAAAAAUAAUAGUCUUUCAGAUAAAGACCAUGAGGUUUAUAAAUGGAAAACAUAAACUAAACUCUUUUUGGAAAACUAAAUUGGUUAUUCCUAGGAAAAGCAUACUGUAUGUUUUAAUUACCUUUACAUUUUUGGGAGCUAAAGAAGUAAAUGCCAAGAUUGGAGUUCCCAUCAUGGUGCAGUGGGUUAAGAAUCUGACCUCAGUGGCUUUGUGGAGGUGCGGGAUCAAUCCCUGGCCAGGUAUAGUGGGUUAAAGGAUCUGGUCUUGGCUGCAGCUGUGGAGUAGUUUGCCACCGAGGCUCAGAUUUAAUCUCUGGCCCAGAAAUUUCCAUAUGCUGCAGGUGCAGACAUAAAAUUAAAAAAAAAGAAAAAGUAAAUGCCAAGAUUUUAUCUGGUUCUCUUCCCCCUUUUAUUUAAUUGACACAAGUAAUUCCAUAGUAAUAUUACGGGUUUAAUUCUAUAAUGCUUAUUAUUUCCUAACAUUUACAAAGACAUUGCUCUGAGAUGAAAGAUGCUGUAUGAGGAGAUGGUGAUCUGUGUCCAUCCUCCUUUCCUCUUUAUUGUAUUUUUUCCUUAUACAUUAACAACAGCAGCAACCUCAACAACAGCCUAUUUUUAUAAUCUUGAAAAGGCUGCUUUUACCUGGGAGAAACUUUUUCAAGAUAGCUCAAGACCUGUGGCUUCUGAUAGUAAGUGAUCCAUUCAUUCUCUUGUAUCCUUAGCCGUGACUUUUUAAUGGAAGCUGGAGCUCAGGAGAUAAUACCCAGCAGCCCCAUGUUUGCACGCAGGAGUGGUGGUGGGCAUAUUCUCCCUUGUAGUAGUGAUCUCGACUGCUUUUUUAUAGUCCCUCCAAGGACCUUUCCACCCUCCACCAACAGUCUCCCUCUUGCCCCCCUUCCCUCUCACUCUUCUGUUUUGCCUUCUUCCUUCAUUAAAACACAUCAAGGAAACUAAGACCCUGUAAGUAUGCAGUUACUAUGUUUCAUAUUCUUAAUUAGCACUUAUAACUUUAGCAUAAUUUCCUAACAGAGCAGUCUUCCCAUUCCUUAUGCUGCUUUAGGUUCAUUGUCCUUCUAAAUGUCAGUGUCAAUUUAGGUAGCCUUUAAGUGUUUUGAAUAUAAGGAAAAGGGUGAAGGGAAGAAAUAACCAUUUAUAAAGUUACUAGGUUUCAUUGCUUAUGGUAAAUAAUUUUUUAAUCUUUUGCCAGAUGCAAAAAAAUCCUUUAAAACAACAGAAAAAAAUCAUUUUAUGCAAAUACUUAAUAUGUGUGUAAAUAUGUUGUUUUUGUUACCUUAAAAAAUCAUUAAUAAAAAUGAAUUUUUUUUAG
rnacentral:lncRNA from 1 species